rnacentral:misc_RNA from 1 species
GAUGAAGAACGUAGCGAAAUGCGAUAAGUAGUGUGAAUUGCAGAAUUCAGUGAAUCAUCGAAUCUUUGAACGCACAUUGCGCCCUUUGGUAUUCCUUAGGGCAUGCCUGUUCGAGCGUCAUUUACAAAUUCAAGCUCAGCUUGGUGAUGGGUGUCUGUCCCGCCUUUGCGCGUGGACUCGCCUCAAAUGCAGUUGGCAGCUUAUCCCUCGGCUCUAAACGCAGCAGAUUUGCGUCGAGCGUCGUGUGGACGGGCUCUCCAGUAAGCAAACCCCCCAAGAUUGACCUCGGAUCAGGUAGGGAAACCCGCUGAACUUAAGCAUAUCAUAGCGGAGGA